rnacentral:piRNA from 1 species
UCAUUCUUUAAAUGGAUUGAGUCUAUAGC